GUUAGUACAAAAUUGAAAACAACAUUAUGAAAGUACCUAUAUACUCGGUUAAUUAUUAUCGUUAAUGGUCUUUUAAUCGAGGUUUGUAAAACUUUUUAUUUCAUACCUGCUCAGAAAUGGUUCAGUACUUUUGGUGAGAGGGAUAUUUGCACAAAAUCACUUUAUCUUGUUGCAGUGAAUGAAAAAAAAAAAAAUCAAAAUAAAUAAAAUAUAAUAUAACUUUUUAUUUCUUAACUAAUCUUUACUUUAGUUGUCCUCUAAAAAGUAGAAAUACUAAUUAAUUGUUAUUUAUUAUGUUACCUGUACCAUGCCGAAUUUGAAUAUACCUACCUAGUAUUUGGUAAAAAAUUGCAAGGUCUCGACGAUAAUUAUUCUUAGGUGCCUAAAUUGAAUUACAAC